UUGCCAGACUCCUACGGGAGGCAGCAGUGGGGGAUAUUGCACAAUGGGGGGAACCCUGAUGCAGCGACGCCGCGUGAAGGAAGAAGUAUCUCGGUAUGUAAACUUCUAUCAGCAGGGAAGAAAAUGACGGUACCUGACUAAGAAGCCCCGGCUAACUACGUGCCAGCAGCCGCGGUAAUACGUAGGGGGCAAGCGUUAUCCGGAUUUACUGGGUGUAAAGGGAGCGUAGACGGCAGUGCAAGUCCGGAGUGAAAGCCCGGGGCUCAACCCUGGGACUGCUCUGGAAACUGUAAAGCUGGAGUGCGGGAGGGGCAGGCGGAAUUCCUGGUGUAGCGGUGAAAUGCGUAGAUAUCAGGAGGAACACCGGCGGCGAAGGCGGCCUGCUGGACCGUAACUGACGUUGAGGCUCGAAAGCGUGGGGAGCAAACAGGAUUAGAUACCCGUGUAA
rnacentral:rRNA from 1 species